CGGUAGCUCAAUGGUAGAGCAGUUGACUCUUAAUCAAUUGGUUGAAGGUUCGAGUCCUUCCCG
rnacentral:tRNA from 1 species